GUUGUAUGGUUAAGUGACUAAGCGUACACGGUGGAUGCCUUGGCAGUCAGAGGCGAUGAAAGACGUAGUAACUUGCGAUAAGCCCAGAUUAGGUAGUAACAACCAUUUGAGUCUGGGAUUUCUGAAUGGGGAAACCCACGUGCAUAAGCACGUAUCCUUACCUGAAUACAUAGGGUAAGGAGGCGAACCGGGGGAACUGAAACAUCUAAGUACCCCGAGGAAAAGAAAUCAACCGAGAUUCCGAAAGUAGCGGCGAGCGAAAUUGGACUAGCCCUUAAGCUUUACACGCGUUAGACGAACGGUCUGGAAAGUCCGACGAUACAGGGUGAUAGUCCCGUAGUUGACGACGUGUGUUCAGUGAAAUCGAGUAGGGCGGGACACGUGAUAUCCUGUCUGAAUAUGGGGGGACCAUCCUCCAAGGCUAAAUACUACUGACUGACCGAUAGUGAACCAGUACCGUGAGGGAAAGGCGAAAAGAACCCCUGUGAGGGGAGUGAAAUAGAACCUGAAACCGUGUACGUACAAGCAGUAGGAGCAGGCUUUGUCCUGUGACUGCGUACCUUUUGUAUAAUGGGUCAGCGACUUAUAUUCAGUGGCAAGGUUAACCAUCUAGGGGAGCCGUAGGGAAACCGAGUCUUAACUGGGCGUUCAGUCUCUGGAUAUAGACCCGAAACCAGGUGAUCUAGCCAUGGGCAGGUUGAAGGUUGAGUAACAUCAACUGGAGGACCGAACCGACUAAUGUUGAAAAAUUAGCGGAUGACUUGUGGCUAGGGGUGAAAGGCCAAUCAAACCUGGAGAUAGCUGGUUCUCCCCGAAAGCUAUUUAGGUAGCGCCUCGGACGAAUACUACUGGGGGUAGAGCACUGUUAAGGCUAGGGGGUCAUCCCGACUUACCAACCCUUUGCAAACUCCGAAUACCAGUAAGUACUAUCCGGGAGACACACGGCGGGUGCUAACGUCCGUCGUGGAGAGGGAAACAACCCAGACCGCCAGCUAAGGUCCCAAAUUACUACUAAGUGGGAAACGAUGUGGGAAGGCUCAGACAGCCAGGAUGUUGGCUUAGAAGCAGCCAUCAUUUAAAGAAAGCGUAAUAGCUCACUGGUCGAGUCGGCCUGCGCGGAAGAUGUAACGGGGCUAAGUAGUAAACCGAAGCUGCGGCAAUAUACUUUUGUAUAUUGGGUAGGGGAGCGUUCUGUAAGCGGUUGAAGGUGUGUGGUAACGCAUGCUGGACGUAUCAGAAGUGCGAAUGCUGACAUGAGUAACGAUAAAGGGGGUGAAAAACCUCCUCGCCGGAAGACCAAGGGUUCCUGUCCAACGUUAAUCGGGGCAGGGUAAGUCGACCCCUAAGGCGAGGCCGAAAGGCGUAGUCGAUGGGAAACGGGUUAAUAUUCCCGUACUUCUUACAAUUGCGAUGGGGGGACGGAGAAGGCUAGGUGGGCCUGGCGACGGUUGUCCAGGUUCAAGUGCGUAGGCUUAAGAGUUAGGUAAAUCCGGCUCUUUUUAAGGCUGAGACACGACGUCGAGCACCUACGGGUGUGAAGUCAUUGAUGCCAUGCUUCCAGGAAAAGCCUCUAAGCUUCAGAUUGUAAGGAAUCGUACCCCAAACCGACACAGGUGGUCGGGUAGAGAAUACCAAGGCGCUUGAGAGAACUCGGGUGAAGGAACUAGGCAAAAUGGUACCGUAACUUCGGGAGAAGGUACGCUCUUGAUGGUGAAGUCCCUUGCGGAUGGAGCUGACGAGAGUCGCAGAUACCAGGUGGCUGCAACUGUUUAUUAAAAACACAGCACUGUGCAAAAUCGUAAGAUGACGUAUACGGUGUGACGCCUGCCCGGUGCCGGAAGGUUAAUUGAUGGGGUUAGACUUCGGUCGAAGCUCUUGAUCGAAGCCCCGGUAAACGGCGGCCGUAACUAUAACGGUCCUAAGGUAGCGAAAUUCCUUGUCGGGUAAGUUCCGACCUGCACGAAUGGCGUAAUGAUGGCCACGCUGUCUCCACCCGAGACUCAGUGAAAUUGAAAUCGCUGUGAAGAUGCAGUGUACCCGCGGCUAGACGGAAAGACCCCGUGAACCUUUACUACAGCUUGGCACUGAACAUUGACCCUACAUGUGUAGGAUAGGUGGGAGGCUUUGAAGCACGUACGCCAGUAUGUGUGGAGCCGUCCUUGAAAUACCACCCUUGUAGUGUUGAUGUUCUAACGUUGACCCCUUAUCGGGGUUGCGGACAGUGCCUGGUGGGUAGUUUGACUGGGGCGGUCUCCUCCCAAAGAGUAACGGAGGAGCACGAAGGUGGGCUAAUCACGGUUGGACAUCGUGAGGUUAGUGCAAUGGCAUAAGCCCGCUUGACUGCGAGAAUGACAAUUCGAGCAGGUGCGAAAGCAGGUCAUAGUGAUCCGGUGGUUCUGAAUGGAAGGGCCAUCGCUCAACGGAUAAAAGGUACUCCGGGGAUAACAGGCUGAUACCGCCCAAGAGUUCAUAUCGACGGCGGUGUUUGGCACCUCGAUGUCGGCUCAUCACAUCCUGGGGCUGAAGUCGGUCCCAAGGGUAUGGCUGUUCGCCAUUUAAAGUGGUACGCGAGCUGGGUUUAGAACGUCGUGAGACAGUUCGGUCCCUAUCUGCCGUGGGCGUUGGAAGAUUGAAGGGGGCUGCUCCUAGUACGAGAGGACCGGAGUGGACGAACCUCUGGUGUUCGGGUUGUGUCGCCAGACGCAUUGCCCGGUAGCUAAGUUCGGAAUCGAUAACCGCUGAAAGCAUCUAAGCGGGAAGCGAGCCCUGAGAUGAGUCUUCCCUGAUACUUUAAGUAUCCUAAAGGGUUGUCGGAGACUACGACGUUGAUAGGUCAGGUGUGUAAGUGCUGUGAGGCAUUGAGCUAACUGAUACUAAUUGCCCGUGAGGCUUAACCAUACAACACCCAAGGGGUUU
rnacentral:rRNA from 1 species